ACAUCACAGCAAGCAGCGGGCUGACACACCUAUCCCAGAAAAAUAGAAGGAAAGACCAUGUGGGGAGGCUGGCUCCAAGUGACAUUUGGGCAGGACAAGAAGAUGUCACCACACUGAAAGGGUGACAAUGCGCAGCCUUUUACAUGCUUGGGCACUGUCAAGACAGAAGAGAAGCACGGGACAGCUGAGCAGCAAGGGAGUGAAGGCACAAGACACAUUCCCAGGCCAACACUUCUUCCGUCUUCCCUCUUGUCGGCUGGACCCUCACUAGAAGCUGCAGGUUCCCGUGGAUUUGAGAUCCAGGCUUAUCACUGUGCUACCACAGAGUGGGAGCCACUGCCAUUGCAAAACUCUAUUGCCAUAUUCAUGUGAUGAGAAUUUGCCUGUAAAAGCUUGCUGACUUACCUAUUUCUGAAUAAAUUCUCUUUUUGUACUUGAA